AUUGAACGCUGGCGGCAGGCUUAACACAUGCAAGUCGAACGGUAGCAGGAGAAAGCUUGCUUUCUUGCUGACGAGUGGCGGACGGGUGAGUAAUGCUUGGGAAUCUGGCUUAUGGAGGGGGAUAACGACGGGAAACUGUCGCUAAUACCGCGUAUUAUCGGAAGAUGAAAGUGCGGGACUGAGAGGCCGCAUGCCAUAGGAUGAGCCCAAGUGGGAUUAGGUAGUUGGUGGGGUAAAUGCCUACCAAGCCUGCGAUCUCUAGCUGGUCUGAGAGGAUGACCAGCCACACUGGAACUGAGACACGGUCCAGACUCCUACGGGAGGCAGCAGUGGGGAAUAUUGCGCAAUGGGGGGAACCCUGACGCAGCCAUGCCGCGUGAAUGAAGAAGGCCUUAGGGUUGUAAAGUUCUUUCGGUAUUGAGGAAGGUUGAUGUGUUAAUAGCACAUCAAAUUGACGUUAAAUACAGAAGAAGCACCGGCUAACUCCGUGCCAGCAGCCGCGGUAAUACGGAGGGUGCGAGCGUUAAU
rnacentral:rRNA from 1 species